rnacentral:lncRNA from 1 species
UUCCAGGCGCCACAGAGGGGGCUGCGCGGUCCUUGCGAGGUGCUGCGAUCCCCACGGGUCGAGCGCUCCCCGAGGGCGGUGGGCGGAGUCGGCCUCACCUGCGGGGCGUGGCUCCUACCGGCCCCGCCCCCAGAGGAGCAGGCCCAGCUGGGACUGGCGCAGCAGGGUGUGGCGGGGCGAGCCGGGAGAGCGGGGCGCAGCGGGGCGCGGGGCGGCCGAGAGGUGCCGAGCGCUCCGCGACCAGGAGACAGGGACGGCCCUUGAGGCGCAGGACGCCCCACGCCCCACUGUGGGGCAUCCCGGGGUCUGGAGCCCGGCUGGCCGCGCUCCUCGGGGAGCGCAGGUAAACAGGAGCGGGGAACGGGGCGGAGCCUGGGGGGCG